UCUCAGUAUCCAAAGAUCCAGAGCCGGAGACGGCUGUGCUCUGCAGUUUCCCAGUAAAAAAGUACGCAACGCUGUUUUGGCCAAGAAGUAUGAAUACGCUUUCUAAGAGACACUACAGCUUUAAAGGUGAAUUUAAUGAGAUAAGCAUCCCUAAACUAAACGUUGGCAUCCCUUAUGGAAAUUAACUACCUUUUAAUCGCAUUCCAUCAAUAAGAAUACUACAAUUAAGCAAUAAAUUACUAUUUGAAUUUAAACAAUUUAAGUCAUUUGGGACUUCAUAUCUAUUGUUAGGAAAAUGUAAAUAAAAACGUCUUCUGCUUAUUGCCAAGCUUAUCCAAAAAGCGUAUAAGAUAACCUUAAGAAUCGGCUCACAAAAAAGGAAAGUGCAUUACAAUUCGAGAGUUGCGCACUCCGAGCAGUAAAUAAAAUAAACAAGCAAGUGCGGCCAAGAGAUAGCAAAAGUAAGCAAAGAAUUGAUUAAAAUUUAUGCUCCCCACCCAGAUACCCACUUUCACACCAGAAGACAGGCGGCACAUGUGCUCUAUAAAGAUAUAUCUCCUCGACAGCCAUCCAGGCAACCCAACCAUCCUCCUUUAUCGAAAUCUGGAUCUCGCCCCGGCGCCUUGUGGGAUGCAUUGGGCCACGGCGAACAACAUUUUGAUUAAAUUAUUUUAAUGGCAAGUGCAGAAUGUAUGGUAAAUACAUGUACGGAUCUAUCGCCGGCUCGUCUCGCGCCUCUGGCGCAGCAGCCAAUUAAUUCAGUUGCGAACUAUGAAAGCACACACUGGGCGCUCAUAAAUCGUGGCAUGAGUUGGGAUGGAGGCCCACCUCCAGCUCCAGCUCCAGCUUCACAGAAAGCAACGGCGAAGGAAGAGGAGGAGGAAAAGCAGUAUCAGCGGAGAACAUCAUGAACCGAUUCCCCAGAAUGACCUGCAAAUGAAUGAAUAUUUCAUAGACGCGAAUCCGAAUAGAUGCACAGAGGCAAAGGCACUGCCGACGCGGAAUUAGCUAAGCAUGCAGCUGAUGGACGGCUCGGAAUUCGCCACGGAUUCAAAAGAGCCACUCAACUGGCAGAAAGUGUGGGGAAUAUGAUUCUUCAAUCUACACUUUAGUCUUUUAGUCUAAGUUUGGUUUAUUGUAAGACUUAUUAUAAAGACAAGACCUUUUUUGGUUUUUCAUACUGUGAAGUUCAUUCACAGCUCAUUUGCAGUGAUAACUAAAUUCUGAAAUACGUCGGUUCAGUAUCAAAA